rnacentral:miRNA from 1 species
AAUCUACUUCUCCCGCCGCAGGGGAAAAAAGGCAGGAGAAGCCCCAGCAGAAAUUUGCUGCUCC